UACGUAGGGGGCAAGCGUUGUCCGGAAUUACUGGGCGUAAAGGGCUCGUAGGCGGCCAACUAAGUCAGACGUGAAAUCCCUAGGCUCAACCUGAGAACUGCGUCUGAUACUGGAUUGGACUUCGGAAUCCGGGGAGAGGGAUAGUCAGAAUUCCAGGUGUAGGCGGUAGAAAUGCGUAGAGAGUCGGAGGAACACCCGUGGCGAAGGCGGCCAUCUGGACCAGCACUGACGCUGAGGCACGAAAGCGUGGGGAGCAAACAGG
rnacentral:rRNA from 1 species